CCCCUUACCAUCUCUCUAUUUUUCCCUCUGUAGUGAAAAUUUUAUGUUUUAAUCCUCAAUUUCUUUUAUUUCUAUUAUUACUUUUUAUUAUUUCAAAUUAAGUGAAGUAAGUUAUUUCAAUAUACAUUUUUAUUUAAUUAUGUGUAUAUUUAAUAUCAAAGUUUUUUAAUCUAAUUUAAUAUUAAUAUUUAACUUUUUUACCUUUUUAAUACUAAUUUUUUUAUAUAAAAAAAAUAUUAACAGGCCACAGUUAUACACAUUAUUCUAAAAGGUUCUUAUAAGAAAUUUUGUGAAAGAAAGAGUUACAAAAAUGUGAGAGGAAGUUUAUGAGUUAAGAAUGGAUAUUAAUGGAAUAUGUGUUUUUAUUCAACAUAAUAUUUUUUUAAAAUAAGUUGUUUUGGCACAAUAUGAGGGAGUUAGAAAUGGUAGAUGUGUUUAUUAAAACUGCCUCUUUUGUUUAUUUUAACAUAUUAGAAAGUUGGGGUCAGC
rnacentral:lncRNA from 1 species